AUUGAACGCUGGCGGCAUGCUUUACACAUGCAAGUCGGACGGUAACAGGCCUUCGGGUGCUGACGAGUGGCGCACGGGUGAGUAAUGCAUCGGAACGUACCCAGAGGUUGGGGAUAACGCAGCGAAAGCUGUGCUAAUACCGCAUGUGAUCUGAGGAUGAAAGCGGGGGACCGAGCAGCAAUGUUUGGCCUCGCGCCUUUCGAGCGGCCGAUGUCGGAUUAGCUAGUUGGUGGGGUAAAGGCCUACCAAGGCGACGAUCCGUAGCUGGCCUGACCGGACGACCAGCCACACUGGGACUGAGACACGGCCCAGACUCCUACGGGAGGCAGCAGUGGGGAAUUUUGGACAAUGGGCGCAAGCCUGAUCCAGCAAUGCCGCGUGCGGGAAGAAGGCCUUCGGGUUGUAAACCGCUUUUGGCAGGAACGAAACGGUGUCCGCUAAUACCGGGCGCUAAUGACGGUACCUGAAGAAUAAGCACCGGCUAACUACGUG
rnacentral:rRNA from 1 species